AGUUUGAUCCUGGCUCAGGACGAACGCUGGCGGCGUGCCUAAUACAUGCAAGUCGAGCGAGCUUGCCUAGAUGAAUUUGGUGCUUGCACCAAAUGAAACUAGAUACAAGCGAGCGGCGGACGGGUGAGUAACACGUGGGUAACCUGCCCAAGAGACUGGGAUAACACCUGGAAACAGAUGCUAAUACCGGAUAACAACACUAGACGCAUGUCUAGAGUUUAAAAGAUGGUUCUGCUAUCACUCUUGGAUGGACCUGCGGUGCAUUAGCUAGUUGGUAAGGUAACGGCUUACCAAGGCAAUGAUGCAUAGCCGAGUUGAGAGACUGAUCGGCCACAUUGGGACUGAGACACGGCCCAAACUCCUACGGGAGGCAGCAGUAGGGAAUCUUCCACAAUGGACGCAAGUCUGAUGGAGCAACGCCGCGUGAGUGAAGAAGGGUUUCGGCUCGUAAAGCUNCUGUUGGUAGUGAAGAAAGAUAGAGGUAGUAACUGGCCUUUAUUUGACGGUAAUUA
rnacentral:rRNA from 1 species